AGAGUUUGAUCCUGGCUCAGGAUGAACGCUGGCGGCGUGCUUAACACAUGCAAGUCGAACGGAGCUGUUCCUUCGGGGGCAGCUUAGUGGCGGACGGGUGAGUAACGCGUGGAUAACCUGGCCCAUACAGGGGGAUAGCAGCUGGAAACGGCUGAUAAUACCGCAUAAGCGCACGGGACCGCAUGGCCCUGUGUGAAAAGCUGAGGCGGUAUGGGAUGGAUCCGCGUCUGAUUAGGCAGUUGGCGGGGUAACGGCCCACCAAACCGACGAUCAGUAGCCGGCCUGAGAGGGUGGACGGCCACAUUGGGACUGAGACACGGCCCAAACUCCUACGGGAGGCUGCAGUGGGGAAUAUUGCACAAUGGGGGGAACCCUGAUGCAGCGACGCCGCGUGAGCGAGGAAGUAUUUCGGUAUGUAAAGCUCUAUCAGCAGGGAAGACAAUGACGGUACCUGACUAAGAAGCCCCGGCUAACUACGUGCCAGCAGCCGCGGUAAUACGUAGGGGGCAAGCGUUAUCCGGAUUUACUGGGUGUAAAGGGAGCGUAGACGGCGCAGCAAGUCUGAAGUGAAAGGGCGGGGCUUAACCCUGUGACUGCUUUGGAAACUGCGGUGCUUGAGUGCCGGAGGGGUAAGCGGAAUUCCUAGUGUAGCGGUGAAAUGCGUAGAUAUUAGGAGGAACACCAGUGGCGAGGCGGCUUACUGGACGGUAACUGACGUUGAGGCUCGAAGGCGUGGGGAGCAAACAGGAUUAGAUACCCUGGUAGUCCACGCGGUAAACGAUGAUACUAGGUGUCAGGCA
rnacentral:rRNA from 1 species